rnacentral:rRNA from 1 species
AUAUAAAUAAGCGGAGGAAAAGAAACCAAAAGGGAUACCCUAAGUAACGGCGAGCGAAAGGGGUAGAGCUCAGCGCUAAGUCCUGUCGUCAUUGGGCGUACAGGAGGUGCAGCGUGGAAACAGCAGUGCAUCGUACUAGGUGAUGUGUCGCAAGUUCCUCUGACAAGGACUCUUCCAUAGCAAUUCCCGGGAAU